rnacentral:rRNA from 1 species
GACGAACGCUGGCGGCGUGCUUAACACAUGCAAGUCGAACGAAAAGAGGGAAAGAGCUUGCUCUUUCCGGAAUUGAGUGGCAAACGGGUGAGUAACACGUAAACAACCUGCCUUCAGGAUGGGGACAACAGACGGAAACGACUGCUCAUACCGAAUAAGUUCCAAGGGCCGCAUGGCCCAUGGAAGAAAAGGUGGCCUCUACCUGUAAGCUAUCGCCUGAAUAGGGGUUUGCGUCUGAUUAGCUGGUUGGAGGGGUAACGGCCCACCAAGGCGACGAUCAGGAGCCGGUCUGAGAGGAUGAACGGCCACACUGGAACUGAGACACGGUCCAGACUCCUACGGGAGGCAGCAGUGGGGAAUCUUCCGCAAUGGGCGAAAGCCUGACGGAGCAACGCCGCGUGAGGGAUGACGGCCUUCGGGUUGUAAAACUCUGUGAUCCGGGACGAAAAGGCAGAGUGCGAAGAACAAACUGCAUUGACGGUACCGGAAAAGCAAGCCACGGCUAACUACGUG